CUGACAAUCUACUGCUAAAUUCAGCGGGCAUACUAAAGAUAGCCGAUUUUGGUAUCACAAAAAGACUUUAUCCUGUACAACAUGUACAAGAAGGAGCUGUUGGAUUGAAAACAACAAUAGGAACAGUUACACAUCUUGCACCAGAGGUUCUUUUUAAGGACAACGCUUUGUUUCCAAAUUGUCCAAAAUUCUAUGGUCCUCCUGUUGACAUAUGGAGUUUAGGAUGUACUGUCAUGGAAAUGCUAACAGGGAGAUAUCCACAGUCGCAAGAUUAUUUCAAAUCCAUUUAUUGGGGAUUUAGAUAUGGGUUUAAACCUUUCAAUUCGUACCGACCAGCAAAUAUUUCAAACGAGUGUUGGUGCUUUAUAAAGGUUACUAUCUGUCCAGACCAUAGACACCGCUGGAAACCUUGUUUUUUGUUAGAUCACACAUGGCAAUCAAUUCAAUAAUUUAAUGUAAACCAUCAUGCAAGUUUUAUGUAAAAAUAAAUAAAUUUACUGAUCCUCCUUA